rnacentral:rRNA from 1 species
GACGAACGCUGGCGGCGUGCUUAACACAUGCAAGUCGAACGGUAAGGCCCUUCGGGGUACACGAGUGGCGAACGGGUGAGUAACACGUGGGUGAUCUGCCCUGCACUUCGGGAUAAGCCUGGGAAACUGGGUCUAAUACCGGAUAGGACCACUGCCUGCAUGGGGGGUGGUGGAAAGCUUUUGCGGUGUGGGAUGGGCCCGCGGCCUAUCAGCUUGUUGGUGGGGUGAUGGCCUACCAAGGCGACGACGGGUAGCCGGCCUGAGAGGGGGACCGGACACACUGGGACUGAGAUACGGCCCAGACUCCUACGGGAGGCAGCAGUGGGGAAUAUUGCACAAUGGGCGCAAGCCUGAUGCAGCGACGCCGCGUGAGGGAUGACGGCCUUCGGGUUGUAAACCUCUUUCAGCACCGACGAAGCGCAAGUGACGGUAGGUGCAGAAGAAGGACCGGCCAACUACGUGCCAGCCGCCGCCGUAA